rnacentral:rRNA from 1 species
CCUACGGGAGGCAGCAGUGAGGAAUAUUGGUCAAUGGGAGAGAUCCUGAACCAGCCAAGCCGCGUGAGGGAAGACGGCCCUAUGGGUUGUAAACCUCUUUUGUCGGAGAACAAAACCCGGUACGUGUCUCGGACUGCGUGUAUCCGUACGAAAAGCAUCGGCUAACUCCGUGCCAGCAGCCGCGGUAAUCCGGAGGAUGUGAGCGUUAUCCGGAUUUAUUGGGUGUAACGGGAGCGUAGGUGGAUUGUUAAGUCAGUGGUGAAAGUUUGCGGCUCAACCGUAAAAUUGCAGUUGAAACUGGCAGUCUUGAGUACAGUAGAGGUGGGCGGAAUUCGUGGUGUAGCGGUGAAAUGCGUAGAUAUCACGAAGAACUCCGGUUGCGAAGGCAGUUCACUGGACUGCAACUGACGCUGAGGCUCGAAAGUGUGGGUAGCAAACAGGAUUAGAUACCCCAGUAGUC